UUGUGUUGAAAGGUAGCAAAUGUUCACAACUUUUUGGAACGAUAAACAAAUUUGGGUUUCUAAAGAUAGUACAUAAAGCCUCAAAAUAUGUAAUCCCAACCAAUUUUGUGUCUCAUUGUCCUCUAAAAUAGCAACUUCUUUUUUUCUUAGAAAUUCCUAUAAGGUUAUAAAUUACGCUAUCCGUAAUAAGUGUAUGAUGCCCUAAGAGAUAAGUGGA
rnacentral:lncRNA from 1 species